CCUACGGGAGGCAGCAGUAGGGAAUCUUGCGCAAUGGGCGAAAGCCUGACGCAGCGACGCCGCGUGAGGGAAGAAGGCCUUUGGGUCGUAAACCUCUGUCGGAGGGGACGAAGGACUGACGGUACCCUCCAAGGAAGCCCCGGCUAACUACGUGCCAGCAGCCGCGGUAAU
rnacentral:rRNA from 1 species